UCAGGGGUGGUUCAGACAGUAAAGAACCUGCCUGUAAUGCAGGAAACCCAGGUUUGAUUCCUGGUUCAGGAA
rnacentral:tRNA from 1 species